AAGGGAGGGAGGAAGACUGGAUCCGCAGCGGCAGCAGGCGAAGGAGGAGGAGCCGCUGGAGCUGGAGCCGCCGCUGCCAGAGUCGCCGUUCGGUACCCGCAGUGGGUGCCCGUCAAUGCCCCUUUCUCUCUCCUAUUGUCAAUAUCACCGGGCGGCUGAGUCCAUGGCACACGCGCAACCGAACCUUCUGGCCAGCAGCGCCCGCCCCCGGCGCCCACUCACUGGAUGCUUCAAACGGGAAGCGAGGCCUCAUUGGCCAGCGCCCGCCUUCACUCCCAUGCCAGCAUGUGCGGCUGAGAGCCGGUCAGGGAUUGGCGGCGGGGGGGCGGAGACACGGGAGGGUGGGAAGAGAAGAGAGCGAGGAUUGGGCUGAGGGCGAGGGACCCGGAUGCAGCCGCGAGCUCCGGCCGCGCUGCCGUCGCUUCCGCCAGGAGGCUGGAUGGCUUGAAGAGGGUGGUCAGUGCCGCCGCCGGGCCUGAGAGCUGCUCCCUAAACCCGGGAGGUGUGCGAUGGGCAGAUCAAUGAAAUGGGUUUCCACGCAUUGCGGAACCUCUGGGCGGCGAUCGUCUUCAACCAGAGGAUUCCAAGGCCACGAUCGGCUAAGGCUCCCUGACGCUCCGGCAAGCCUUGUUGGAGGGCGGCUCGGUGUAGCUUCUGCAGGUGGGGACGCUGACCACGCUCCGCACUCAUUCAUCAGGAUCCUCCGCACCGUCCCUCCACCUGACGGAGCUCGGAGAAACCCCCGCGCCCAACUGUAGGAACCUGGGAGCUUUGAAUUGGCCGGCGGAUCAGAAGGAGUUUGUGGAGAAGCCUUGACUUAACUCUAGAACAAGUGAUAAAAUAUUUAGAAAUGUGUUUGCGUCCUUGGCGAACCCUAGGCCAAAUGGUGCGUUUCCAGAGAAUAUUCUUGGACACUCACUCUAGUUGGAUGCACUCUACUACAUACCUCUUUUGCGGGG